rnacentral:misc_RNA from 1 species
UGUCCCCUUGACAUCCUCAGCAUCCUCUUUGGAGAGAGGAAAGUGAAGUAGAACUUGCAGGAUUCCAGCAAGGCCAUUAGCUGCUCCCCAGUACCUUGUCCCAUGCCAUCUGUACAUCAGGGGGCAGGCUGGAUUAUCAGAUGAUCCUGCCCUGCCCCCAGCUAACACAGCAUCAACAACAGGCAUGAGAAGAUCACUUGGCAAUGUCCCUUCUCCUAGACGUUGAUUCAGAAACAAAGCAGACCAUAAAAAUCCAGCUCGCCCAUACAUAAGGUCAUAUGACAUUCCAAAACCGCCUUCCUCUGGUCCGAUUGGGAGCGCUCUCUCUUGUGCUACCUCAAGGAAGAGGUUCAAAAACAGGUCGCGUCGUCGUUGAUCUCCUUUGUAAUUAGCAAUCACAGCUCCAAGAGCAUAUAUUCCACCUCUACCACAUAAAAAGGUCACAUGCCUCGAAGAUGCAGGUGCAACAGCGGCACACGUGUCAACGAUCUCCGAGCAUAACAACAAGUCUUUCUGGUUACCGGUAACCUCGUACGACCGCAAGCAGGUGAAAGCCGUUCCCAGCAGACCCGAAUAAACCGUCGGGUCAACAACCGUAUCCGUACCCACACUACUACCACGACCUCCUGUCCACGUCAUCUCCACCACCUGGUCCUUGAGAGAAAUGGCUGCUUUGAGAAAAGAUUCGUUAGGAAGUGAAAAAUUGGCAGCCGUUAGAUCCAUAUGAAGAAUAAAAUCUAGCCGUUCGUUGUUCUUAUCGCCGUCCUCAUGGCUCUCUUGAGAAGCAAACUCCACAGCAGGAGACAUGGCAUCUCUCACGGACUCUUAAAAAC